rnacentral:rRNA from 1 species
AACGAACGCUGGCGGCAUGCCUCAUACAUGCAAGUCGAACGAGGUCUUCGGACCUAGUGGCGCACGGGUGAGUAACAUGUGGGAAUCUACCUGAAGGUUCGGAAUAACUGCGGGAAACUGUAGCUAAUACCGGAUGUGUCUGAAAAGAGAAAGAUUUAUCGCCUUCAGAUGAGCCCGCACUAGAUUAGCUAGUUGGUGAGGUAAUUGCUCCACCAAGGCCACGAUCUAUAGCUGAUUUGAGAGGAUGAUCAGCCACACUGGGACUGAGACACGGCCCAGACUCCUACGGGAGGCAGCAGUAGGGAAUAUUGGACAAUGGGGGAAACCCUGAUCCAGCAAUGCCGCGUGAGUGAAGAAGGCCUUCGGGUUGUAAAGCUCUUUCAUCAAUGAUGAUAAUGACAUUAGUUGAAGAAGAAGCCCCGGCUAACUUCGUGCCAGCAGCCGCGGUAAUACGAAGGGGGCUAGCGUUGUUCGGAAUCACUGGGCGUAAAGCGUAUGUAGGCGGAUCAAAAAGUUAGAUGUGAAAUCCCUGGGCUCAACCCAGGAACUGCAUUUAAAACUAGUGAUCUAGAAUUUGGUAGGGGCCAGUAGAAUUUCCAGUGUAGAGGUGAAAUUCGUAGAUAUUGGAAAGAAUACCAGUGGCGAAGGCGACUGGCUGGGCCAUUUUUGACGCUGAGAUACGAAAGCGUGGGUAGCAAACAGGAUUAGAUACCCUGGUAGUCCACGCAGUAAACGAUGAGUGCUAGUCGCUGGGACAAUAGUUUCAGUGUCGAAGCUAACGCAUUAAGCACUCCGCCUGGGAAGUACGGUCGCAAGAUUAAAACUCAAAUAAAUUGACGGGGGCCCGCACAAGCGGUGGAGCAUGUGGUUUAAUUCGAAGCAACGCGAAGAACCUUACCAGACCUUGACAUGGUAUGUUUGAAUUACAGAAUCGUAAUUCUUCAGUUCGGCUGGCAUACACACAGGUGCUGCAUGGCUGUCGUCAGCUCGUGUCGUGAGAUGUUGGGUUAAGUCCCGCAACGAGCGCAACCCUCAUUUUUAGUUGCCAUCAGGUCAAGCUGGGCACUCUAAAAAAACUGCCGGUGAUAAGCUGGAGGAAGGCGGGGAUGACGUCAAGUCCUCAUGGCCCUUACGGUCUGGGCUACACACGUGCUACAAUGGUGGUGACAGUGGGCAGCGAUACUGCAAAGUAAAGCUAAUCCCAAAAAACCAUCUCAGUUCGGAUUGGACUCUGCAACUCGAGUCCAUGAAGUUGGAAUCGCUAGUAAUCGUAGAUCAGCGUGCUACGGUGAAUACGUUCUCGGGCCU